GUGAAUCAUCGAGUCUUUGAACGCACCUUGCGCCCUCUGGUAUUCCGGAGGGCAUGCCCGGUUGAGUGUCAUGAAUAUCUCAAACCCAGUGCUUUGUUUGAAGGUCUCAUCGACUUGCUGCUGUCGCCUAGCGAGGCUUCGGCAGUCGUUGUGGGGCUGAAGCGCUGGGGCUUGGACUUGAGCCUGUGUUGGCCUUGCGUCGACUGGCUCGAAAUCUAUGAGCGAUGUGUGAUCCUUUGGGUCCGUCUCGGCGUGAUAAGUUGAUCGUCGCAAGGAUUCCGUUGGGUGUGGCACGCUUCUAAUCGUCUUAGGACAACCUCUGACAUUUACACCUCAACUCGGGUAGGACUACCCGCUGAACUUAAGCAUAUCAAUAAGCGGAGGAAAAGA
rnacentral:rRNA from 1 species